GGCCUCGUGGUCUAGUGGUAUGAUUCUCCUUGGGUGGAGAGGUCCGGGUUCGAUUCCCGGUGAGGCCC
rnacentral:tRNA from 1 species